rnacentral:piRNA from 1 species
UCUAAGACUACAUUUCGCCAUACUGCAUUA